AGCAUCUGCCAAGGAUGUUUUCAUUAAUCAAGAACGAAAGUUAGGGGAUCGAAGACGAUCAGAUACCGUCGUAGUCUUAACCAUAAACGAUGCCGACCAGCGAUUAGGAGACGUUGAAUACAAAACACCACCAUCGGCGCGGUCGUCCUUGGCGUUCGUGUUCACGCACGAGCGCGAGGGCGGUUUAGCCCGAUGGCACCGGUGAAUGACUCCCCUAGCAGCUUGUGAGAA
rnacentral:rRNA from 1 species